GGCUUUUAAUACCACAUAACAGUUGAAGAAAUUAAAGGGGGAAUGACAUGCAGAAAAAGGGCCGCAGGGUGGAGUCAAACCCACAGCCACUGUGCUGAGUAAACCACCA